GUAAAAAUAUCAACUCUAAGCCCUCAAAAUCUCGUCUUCUUCAAUUCUGAUGCUAUUUAUGACGUCAAUGAAAAUGCUCAAUAUAAAACUGGUAUGGAAAUCAGUACUUGGAGUGGCGUUACGACAUGAAAAAUAUACCCUUGAUACCACUGAUGACGUAAUCCACAAAUUUAUAACCCCCUCUCCAAGGACUCCAAAAUGAACGUAAAGUAUGCGCGUUGCUAAUUUUCUACUCAGUCUCCGACCCUCCAACCAUGCAUGGUACCCCUUUAUUCAUUUUCUCCCUAGAAAAUCAUAAAACAUACAGCUGAUAAUUACAAGGGCAUUAAUUCAGGUGUACCAUAUGUCUCGCUCAUGCCUUCUCCGCGCACUCUUCCAAUAAAAACCGACGUUCUUUAUUAAUCUGGAAUGCCCUCUUAGAAUAAGAAAUGCACGCCGUUAUCAGAAGGUGCCCUAGAUAUUUAGUUCGUUUCCUUUAGUAUUGAUAAAAAGUACUAACAACAAUGCUUAGUUAUCUUGAUGUGGUGAUCGAAUCAUCAUAGUGGGAAAUGUGUUCCCUGGAUACCGGCACUCCCAGGAACCCUGGCAUCAGUUUUCACAGAUUUCCAGGCUUCAAUGUGCCCCCUAAUCAAGAGCUCAAAUCAAAGUGGGAAAGAACCAUUCUAAGAUCAAAAGUUGACAAAAAAAACAAGCCAAGAGACAAUUUAGACAAUAACUUAGAAUUCAAGAAUCUGCAGCCUCCAUUUUACAGAUGAUGACUUCAUCACCAUGGGCAGGUCGACAAGCAACAUGGCCAUGGGUGCCAAAUAAACAUAGAUCUAAAACAAAGGGGUUGAAAGAUGAUACUGUUUCCGUCACAGCCAGCACCCCUAGACCUAAAAAAGCAGUAUCAAGCAGCCAAAGGCUCCAACUCGACUAUGAAUGUCAAAAGGCCAUUGGGGUUGAGAUGUUUGUGAAAGAAGAGGUUGAAACAGCUCAAGAGCUAUAUAAGAAGUUAUCUCAAGAGACACUCUCCUCAGAAUUUACUCUUCUGAAAUCGCCAAAAAUAUCCCUAGUCAAGCUUGAAGCUAUGAGGGUAAAGGGCCUUGAAAUCAAAGCCAGCCUUGAAAUAAAAGAUGACCUCUCCUUAAAAGUUUUUAAAGACCAUCUCUGGAUUAACACCUGUGCAAUUUCCCACUGUCUAAUCACAAAAUCACUGGGGAAGAUUAUAUCUAUUACGGAGUUAAUCCAAAUAACUGCAUAUAUUGGAUCAAGGAGGAAUUGAAUGAAAAUGAGGCGUAUGAAAUCAUCAUGCCCCUCUUGCGUAGACUAUUAGAAUCUUCAGACUUGGAGCCAACUCAAUUAUCAAAGCUCUCUUUCAUUACGUAGCAGAUGUGACGCUACUAUUCAAGAGCCCCAAAGCUAGGAGAUACUUACCCUGUCUUCUCUCUGUUCGUCUCCUAUGGCAAAACUCCCAAAUAUCUCAGUGCUCUGUCAAGUUUAGUGACAUAGAAACUGGAUUUCCUGUUUCAACUGUUAAAUAUCUCGGAGCAAGGAUAAAAGACCUGAAUAACAGAAUACUCAAUGUUACUCUCAUGAUUGAUGUGGUGUACUCAGCACAAAGACUUGAGUUUGUGAGAGGUAAGUUCCUUGGUUGUUAGGACAAUCAGACGACCAAAACAGUUCUCCCAUUCAUGAUUAAGUCUGCUGGAGGAAAGUAUAUGGAUGUAGUUGGACUCGUCCCAGUAGCAAAAUAAAGGUUCAUGAAUGUUGCCGGAUCAGUUGACAUCCACCCAGCUAACACGAAUUUCCCCACUAGGCUCCUUUGUUGUGGUGAACUCAGACCUCAAUACCUAACCCACACAACCCGCACUAGGAAGGGUUUUCUCGUCUUGAAUAAUUUUUUUCAGUAAAAGAUCAGAAAAAGUGUCAAUAAUGGCCUUGACUCUACUUUGGAAAAUGGAGAAUUGAAGCAAGCCUAGAUGACAAUAUCCUUUAGCAAAAUCCGAGGAGUUAUUGAUGUGUUACUCAACUGUGCAGCUCACAAAGAAGUACAUGGGGUUGAGGCUGGUGAGUUUGAAAGCCAGACAAGGGCCCAACACGGUCAAAAUAAAAUUCCAACAACCAAGUUAGCGUACUCUUUACUGUGGGGCCUGAAUCAGAGCCAUAAUCUUCUCCAAAGUCAUUCUUUCAAGAAAGGACUUGUGAAGGAUUAAGAAGUUUAAAAAUCUUAACUUUUCCCACAAUUAUAAGAUAAAUACUUCGUUGAUUGAUACCAUUCUUUUAAGUGACACCAAACACUUAUGCCUCGACCCCAAAAUAACAAACAACCUCCUACCUUCAUAUUCGCAGCUGUUACAGUCACUCAAAGUAUGUUGUUAAACAACAGCCGCACGCUGUAUGUGGUGCGUCAAUAUAAAAAAAUAUCGAACAAAAUCAAACAAAGGGUAAAAUCACAAUUAAUUAUUUUUACUUGA
rnacentral:lncRNA from 1 species